CGGGGUGCACCAGGCGCGAAAACUCUGCAAUGCAGGCAACUGCGAUAGGGGAACAUCGAGUGAUCCUCAUAUUGGGGGUCUGUCCACCCGUCUAAAAAACGGGUGUUAGCAAGGGCCGGGCAAGACCGGUGCCAGCCGCCGCGGUAAUACCGGCGGCUCGAGUGGUGGCCGAUAUUAUUGAGUCUAAAGGGUCCGUAGCCGGCUUUGCAAGUCUCUCGGGAAAUCCAGCGGCUUAACCGUUGGUCGUCCGGGGGGUACUACAUUGCUUGGGACUGGGAGAGGUAGGAGGUACUCAGGGGGUAGGAGUGAAAUCCUGUAAUCCUUUGGGGACCACCGGUGGCGAAGGCGUCCUACCAGAACAGGUCCGACGGUGAGGGACGAAAGCUAGGGGCACGAACCGGAUUAGAUACCCGGGUAGUCCUAGCCGUAAACGAUGCUCGCUAGGUGUCACAACAGUCGUGAACUGUUGUGGUGCCGUAGGGAAGCCGUGAAGCGAGCCACUUGGGAAGUACGACCGCAAGGUUGAAACUUAAAGGAAUUGGCGGGGGAGCACAAGGGCGAUUCGCGG
rnacentral:rRNA from 1 species